rnacentral:rRNA from 1 species
AGUCGAGGGGCAUCAGCUUAUAGCAAUAUAGGGCUGGCGACCGGCAAACGGGUGCGGAACACGUACACAACCUUCCUUUAAGAGGGGGAUAGCCCAUAGAAAUGUGGAUUAAUACCCCGUAAGAUAGUGGGAUGGCAUCAUACUACUAUUAUAGUUACGACGCUUGAAGAUGGGUGUGCGUCUGAUUAGGUAGUUGGCGGGGUAAAGGCCCACCAAGCCUUCGAUCAGUAGCUGAUGUGAGAGCAUGAUCAGCCACACGGGCACUGAGACACGGGCCCGACUCCUACGGGAGGCAGCAGUAAGGAAUAUUGGUCAAUGGACGCAAGUCUGAACCAGCCAUGCCGCGUGAAGGAUGAAGGUCCUCUGGAUUGUAAACUUCUUUUACAGGGGGCGAAAAAAGGGAAAUCUUUCUCACUUGACAGUACCCUAUGAAUAAGCACCGGCUAACUCCGUGCCAGCAGCCGCGGUAAUACGGAGGGUGCAAGCGUUAUCCGGAUUCACUGGGUUUAAAGGGUGCGUAGGCGGGCGUAUAAGUCAGUGGUGAAAUCCUGGAGCUUAACUCCAGAACUGCCAUUGAUACUAUAUGUCUUGAAUAUGGUGGAGGUAAGCGGAAUAUGUCAUGUAGCGGUGAAAUGCAUAGAUAUGACAUAGAACACCUAUUGCGAAGGCAGCUUACUACGCCUAUAUUGACGCUGAGGCACGAAAGCGUGGGGAUCAAACAGGAUUAGAUACCCUGGUGGUCCACGCCCUAAACGAUGAUUACUCGACGUGUGCGAUAAACGGUACGCGUCUGAGCGAAAGCAUUAAGUAAUNNNCCUGGGAAGUACGACCGCAAGGUUGAAACUCAAAGGAAUUGGNNNNNNUCCGCACAAGCGGUGNNNCAUGUGGUUUAAUUCGA